rnacentral:lncRNA from 1 species
GCCACAGAGAUAAUUACUAUUACACAGGUUUACUCUAUGAGCUGAAGUAAUGGAAUUAGACCGACUGUCUCUAGAGCAAGUGACAAAGGGCUUGGUGGUUGGUACCCGAGACCCAAGUUCGAAUCUUAGUUGAUUCACAUUUUCAGCUAAAUUUAUUUCUAACUGAAAUAAACGAAGCGGGUAGCGUACUACCUAUCUAUCAAA